rnacentral:lncRNA from 1 species
CGCUGAUGCGCCUCACGCGCGCUUUUCUCCUUUCGUAUUCCGCCGUUGCAGGGACGCUGCCGCGGAGUAAUGGGGUGCUUACGAAGCGGGGGUGUGGCGUUUUCUCAGCCGGGUCAUAGUUAGGUGCGUGAAAUUCCUCAGAAAAGCCGUGGUUCAUUCUCAUCGUUCUGUAGAAGGGAAUAUUGUGUGGAAAGUAGGCCAGAUAGGGUCAGAACAGGUUGGAGGGACUAAGGCACAGGAACGUGCAGAAAGUAACUGCAGGCAAGUCGGGGUGCGUUGCCUCGGGCCUGGCGCUUCAGAGUGCGACUGACCUCAGUCAGUCCACGCAGUACUCACUCUAGCAGAAGACCCAGAAAGCCGUCUCCUGGAAAACUGGGACACGACACCCAAGCGCUUUCCCGAAGCUUCUCACCACAGAGACGUGAAUUCGGGAAAAACCCUGACCCUCUGGCUACAGUAGAAGCAGGAGACCUGACUCCUUUGUUUAACCAAACGACUGUCUGGAACCGUUAGUUCCUGAUAUUUUCAAGCCCACUUGAAUGUGUUGUUCCUGUUGCCCUUACAGACAUCAAGCAAGGACAGGAGCUUUUUUCAAACUAUGACAUGGUUAUCAGCUAAUGUGAUGAAUUAAAAACUUAAGGUUUACUAAGCAGCUAUUGUGUUCAUUCUAAAUUCG